AGGGUUUUCUUUUCCUCCUUCCCCAACCCAAAACCCUCUUUACUGGUACCAUCCAUCAGCUCUCUUACUCUGCUGCAGCGAAAUCCGGAGAUCCAUCAACAAUGGUAGGAGGUUUUGAAGUAGGCGCAGUCCCUUUUAACCCAGACGGCUGGGGCCCACCCGACUCCGUCACCACUGCCCCAACUACCACCACUCUGCCUCUCCACGUUCCCUUCGCUCCUUUCUCCCGCUCCGAAAAGCUUGGCCGAAUCGCCGACUUCACCCGCUCUUUCCCUUCCUCGAACGCCAACCCAUCCAACCGGCCUUCCUCUGCAAAACCCGGCGGAGCCAAUUCCUCCGACGCGCCUUUCGAUUUCUCCCUCGACCUCGACGCCUUCCCUCUCGCGAACCCGGACGACGAUUCCUCCUUCCGUCUAGUAGACGCCAAGCCUCCUCCUCGGCCCAAAUUCGGCCCUAAGUGGCGUUUCAACCAACACCGACCCCAGCUCCCUCAACGACGAGACGAAGAAGUCGAGGCCCGAAAAAGAGAGGCCGAGAAAGAGCGAGCCCGCCGCGACCGUCUUUACAAUCUCAACCGGUCCAAUCAGAACCAGCCACGUCGCGAAGCCGCGAUUUUCAAAUCUUCAGUCGAUAUCCAACCGGAAUGGAACAUGCUCGAUCAAAUCCCUUUCUCGACAUUCUCCAAAUUAUCCUUUUCCGUUCCCGAACCCGAAGAUUUACUCCUCUGUGGCGCAUUAGAGUAUUACGAUCGGUCCUUUGAUCGAAUCACCCCGAAGAACGAACGGAGGCUCGAAAGGUUCAAGAACAGAAACUUCUUUAAAGUCACUACAACUGACGAUCCGGUGAUCCGAAGAUUGGCCAAUGAGGAUAAAGCAACUGUUUUUGCUACCGAUACGAUUCUGGCAACCUUAAUGUGUGCACCGAGGUCAGUUUAUUCAUGGGAUAUUGUAAUUCAACGUGUUGGGAAUAAGUUAUUUUUCGAUAAGCGAGAUGGUUCUCAAUUAGAUUUGUUGUCAGUUCACGAGACUUCUCAGGAGCCAUUGCCUGAAGCUAAAGAUGAUAUUAACUCUGCGUAUUCAUUGAGUGUUGAAGCAGCUUAUAUAAAUCAGAAUUUUUCGCAGCAGGUUUUGGUUAGGGAUGGGAAUAAGGUGAGUUUUGAUGAGCCGAACCCAUUUGCCAACGAAGGUGAUGAGGUGGCUUCCGUGGCCUAUAGGUAUAGAAGGUGGAAGCUUGAUAAUGAUAUGUAUUUGGUUGCACGUUGUGAGGUUCAGAGUGUUGUUGAGGUUAAUAAGCAGAAGUCUUUUCUUACUUUGAAUGCACUUAACGAGUUUGAUCCCAAGUAUUCGGGUGUUGAUUGGAGGCAGAAGUUGGAGACUCAGAGGGGUGCAGUUUUGGCUACUGAAUUGAAGAAUAAUGCGAAUAAGUUGGCUAAAUGGACUGCUCAAGCUCUUUUAGCCAGUGCUGAUUUAAUGAAAUUGGGCUAUGUUUCAAGGGUGCAUCCUAGGGAUCAUUUUAACCAUGUGAUAUUGGCUGUUGUUGGGUAUAAGCCAAGAGAUUUUGCUGCACAAAUUAAUCUGAACACUGCGAAUAUGUGGGGCAUUGUGAAGUCUAUUGUGGACUUGUGUAUGAAAUUGAAUGAGGGGAAAUAUGUGCUCGUGAAGGAUCCAUCUAAGCCUCAGGUGAGGAUUUAUGAGGUUCCAGCUGAUGCUUUUGAGAAUGAUUAUGUGGAGGAACCUUUGCCAGAAGACGAACAAGUUCAGCCACCAACUGAGGAUGCUGAAGGUGGGGAGGCAAAUGGCACUACAAAUGAUGUUGACGAUAAAGAUAUUGAGACACAAAAUUAAAGGUUUAAUCUUUGGAGUGGAAGAUUGAUUGGAAAAAGCUUGAUGUACUGGUCUGUUGUCAAAGACCUUCUUAUUGGUGAUUGCUUAUCCAAAUUCUGGUAUUUAUGGAGAAUUACGAUCCGCACUAAUGUCUACAGCAAGCCAGAUUUGAAGCUCAAAGAAUAGUCCAUAAAGUAUUUAUGUUUCCUUGUUUGAUCCGCAUGUUGACUUAGCAUUAUGUGCGGAGAGAUUUUGUAAGAGUAUUUAUAACUUGCCUUUUGAAACUGAGUGAACCUAAUUAGUAAGCAUGUUCCGAUGGUUUCAUGCGAGUCUGGAAAUGUGGUACUGAGGGUAUAUGUUUUUUGCUUCUUCAGAAACUAUUUUCCUCUACAAA